UACGUAGGGGGCAAGCGUUAUCCGGAUUUACUGGGUGUAAAGGGGGCGCAGACGGCGCGGCAAGUCCGGAGUGAAAUCCCAGGGCCCAACCCUGGGGCUGCUCUGGAAACUGCCGGGCUGGAGUGCUGGAGGGGCAGGCGGAAUUCCUAGUGUAGUGGUGAAAUGCGUAGAUAUCAGGAGGAACACCGGUGGCGAAGGCGGCCUGCUGGACUGCAACUGACGUUGAGGCCCGAAAGCGUGGGGAGCAAACAGG
rnacentral:rRNA from 1 species